GGUCAUGAGUUCCAGUGACAAGCCCCGGCUCGCUGAACGGCAUCCCGCUCGCCGCGGGUGCCCCGGGUGACGACCUGCUCCACGCGGGGUGCGUGGAGAACGGCGGAUC
rnacentral:ncRNA from 1 species